rnacentral:tRNA from 1 species
CGCGGGAUGGAGCAGUUUGGUAGCUCGUCGGGCUCAUAACCCGAAGGUCGUUGGUUCGAAUCCAGCUCCCGCAA